rnacentral:rRNA from 1 species
AACGAACGUUGGCGGCGUGGAUUAGGCAUGCAAGUCGAACGAAUCCCUGGGGGCUUGCUCUCAGGGGAAAGUGGCGAAAGGGGCAGUAAGGCGUGGGUAACCUACCCUGGGGACUGGGAUAGCCGUCCUAACGGACGGGUAAUACCGGGCGACGUAGCGGAGGGGCAUCUCUUUGCUACCAAAUGAAUUUCGCCCUGGGAGGGGCUCACGUGGUAUUAGCUAGUUGGUGGGGUAAUGGCCUACCAAGGCUUAGAUGCCUAGCUGGUGUGAGAGCACGACCAGCGCCACUGGCACUGCGACACUGGCCAGACUCCUACGGGAGGCUGCAGUCGAGGAUCUUCCGCAAUGGCCGAAAGGCUGACGGAGCGACGCCGCGUGUGCGAUGAAGGCCUUCGGGUUGUAAAGCACUUUUGUAAGGGAGGAAGCCGCAAGGUUGACUGUACCUUACGAAUAAGCUCGGGCUAAGUUCGUGCCAGCAGCCGCAGUAAAAC